AUACGGAGGAUCCGAGCGUUAUCCGGAUUUAUUGGGUUUAAAGGGUGCGCAGGCGGCCAUUUAAGUCAGCGGUUAAAUCGUGGGGCUCAACCCCAUUCUGCCGUUGAUACUGUGUGGCUUGAUUGCGGUCGAGGUUGGCGGAAUUCGUUGUGUAGCGGUGAAAUGCAUAGAUAUGACGAAGAACACCGAUUGCGUAGGCAGCUGACCAGACCGCAAAUGACGCUCAUGCACGAAAGUGCGGGGAUCGAACAGGAUUAGAUACCCUGGUAGUCCGCACAGUAAACGAUGAAUACUUGUUUUCGGCGAUAUAAUGUCGGAGGCAAAGCGAAAGCGAUAAGUAUUCCACCUGGGGAGUACGCCGGCAACGGUGAAACUCAAAUGAAUUGGCGGGG
rnacentral:rRNA from 1 species